GGAUGUAAGAGUGCUUCGACAUCUGUCACCACCACAUCCAUCACCAGCAUCCAUUAGGCUGAUUUGGCUGUUCCCUUCCUCCCUCAUGGUUCCCUGUGUGUCCUUCCUGAAGGUACAUGCUCCUCUAAGAGGAGAACCUUUCCCAAUAGAGAAGAGUCAUUCAUCUCAGUCAAGGGCAUGUAAGUUAGCUGUGCUCCCCACUAGAACCUCCAAACAUGCUCUCAAGUUUUGUUAUUUGUCUUGAGUCAGGUUUUUUUUUUUUUCAUGAGAUGUGAGGUGGGUAUGUAGAUCCACUCUU
rnacentral:snRNA from 1 species